UUUUGUUGCACUCGAGGGUCAAUCUCCGUUCGGUCUGAAAAAUAUUUUCACACUAUCUGUUAAAACAUUAUAUCUUGUUGUAAGAAUCUUUUGAUUAUCUAAACCAACACAUGUAACAUCCUUUGACAUUAUGAAUUAAUUAAUGCCCCAAUGACUUUCCUAAUCUCAGUACUUAUAUUGAUUUAUUGCCUCAAUAUGUCAUACUUUAGUGAAGUACGUUGUCAGAAUAGUAAGUUCCACUCUAGUAAUUUUUGGUACUCAUCUUAUAAUUAAUGAUUUUUCAUUCAACUAUAUUACUCACUAUUUUUCGUUCCUCUACUCAUUUACAUAUGUGUGGUCCAUAUGGCCACACUCAUGGGCGGACCGACGUACAAUUUUCGGGUGCUCGAGCACCCACUAAACUCGAUAUAGAAGAGGUAUAAUUAUAUAAGAAACAGUGAAAAAAUGAUAAAAUAUAUACAAAAGCACCCAGAGAACAAAAGCAUGGUUGGGUGCUCUGGCUUUAGACAUAACUUUCAUGUCUUCCACGCUGGGAUUGAAUCCCUGUAGCUGCGUUGUUUAGUAAAAUUUUUUUUGAGCACCCACAACCUACAAAAGCUGAGUCCGCCACUGGCCACACUUAAAAUCAAAAGUCAAAACAAAUUUCCCUAGUAAGGUGAAUGGCCCAUCCACAUUUAAUUGAAUUCGUACUACUUGUAUAAUUAGACACUCCCUAAUCAUAUCAUUAGAGCAUGACAAAGAAUGCAUUAUUUUAUAAUUUCAACCUAAUUAAGCCUUACACAUUGGCCGGCUUUGUCCACGUGGCAUCUAUAAGAACCUAAUCACUAAUAAUUAAUCAGUUAAUUAUUCUAAUAAGUACAACAACAACAACAACAACAAACCCAGUGUAUUCCCACUUUGUGGGGUCUGGGGGGGGUAAGAUGUACGCAGUCCAUACCUCUACCUCUGAUGAAGUAGAAAGGCUGUUUCCGAAAGACCCCCGGCUCAAGUUACGAGAUAUCAAACAAACACAUAGUACAGCACAGAAGCAGAUGACAUAACAUAGAUACUGCAGCCAUAAGGAAUAUAAAACAGAGUAAAGCAGUAAUGCAGGAAUAUAAAGCAGAGGAAAGCACACAGAUUCGUAACAAACAUAGAACACGGAACACGGAACAGAACAUUGAAUACGGAAUCAUACCAGGAAUACACCCCCACCAAUUACCUCCCUACAUUAGCGACCCGAACAGGCCCUAAUCCUCUGCCGUAAUUCGCGUCUUCCAGACCUUCCUAUCUAGGGUCAUGUCCUCGGUAAGCUGUAACUGUUCCAUGUCCCGCCUAAUCACCUCACCCCAGUACUUCUUCGGUCUACCCCUACCCCGUCUAAAACCAUCCAACGCUAGCCUCUCACACCUACGGACCGGGGCAUCCAUGCCCCUCCUCUUCACGUGUCCGAACCAUCUCAAUCGUGCUUCCCGCAUCUUACACUCCACUGAAGUCACCCCAACCUUCUCCCGGAUAGUCUCAUUCCGAGCUCUAUCCCUUCGGGUCAGUCCACACAUCCAGCGCAACAUCCGCAUUUCUGCCACCUUCAUUCUUUGGGUGUGGGAGUUCUUAACUGGCCAACACUCCGCUCCAUACAGCAAGGCCGGACGGACUACCACCCUAUAGAAUUUACCUUUAAGCUUGGGCGGCACCUUCUUAUCACACAGCACCCCCGAUGCAAGUUUCCACUUCAUCCAUCCCGCCCCGAUACGGUGCGAGACAUCCUCGUCAAUCUCACCGUUACUCUGGAUCACGGACCCGAGGUACUUGAACUUAUCCCUUUUCUUUACCUCCUGCGCUUCUAGCCUCACCACUACCUCAUUCUCUCGCCUUACGUCAUUAAACUUACAUUCCACAUACUCUGUCUUGGUUCUGCUCACCCUGAACCCUUUAGACUCCAGAGUUUGCCUCCACAGCUCUAAUUUGUCGUUCACACCCCCUCGCGUCUCAUCUAUCAGGACUACAUCGUCUGCAAAAAGCAUACACCACGGCACCUCCCCUUGGAUACGCCGCGUUAACACAUCCAUUACUAGCGCAAACAAAAAGGGACUAAGAGUAGAUCCCUGAUGCAAUCCUGUCAGGACAGUGAAAUGCUCUGAGUCUCCUCCCGCCGUCCUCACCUGGGUUUUCGCUCCCUCAUACAUAUCCUUAAUUACUCUGCUAUAUGCCUGCGGUACUCCACUCACCUCCAAGCAUCUCCAAAGCACCUCCCUGGGGACUUUGUCGUACGCCUUUUCUAGGUCGAUGAACACCAUGUGCAAAUCCUUCUUCCUUUCCCUAUAUUGCUCCACCAACCGCCGUACCAGGUGAAUUGCCUCCGUCGUCGAGCGGCCGGGCAUAAAUCCGAACUGAUUUUCCGAGAUAGACACUAUCCGUCUCAGCCUCACCUCGACCACUCUCUCCCAGAUCUUCAUAGAGUGACUCAGUAACUUAAUCCCCCUAUAGUUAUUGCAACACUGAAUGUCCCCCUUAUUCUUAUAGAGGGGGAUCAUGGUACUCCACCUCCACGCCUCGGGCAUCUUUGCUGUCCUGAAAAUUUCAUUGAACAAUGCAGUCAACCACCUUACACCAGCCUCUCCAACGAACUUCCAAAACUCCACCGGUAUCUCAUCCGGCCCCGUCGCCCUACCCCUUCGCAUCCUGCGGACUGCCUGUCUAACCUCGUCUACCUUAAAACGUCUACAAUAGCUAAAAUCCCGACACUCCCCUGAGUGCUCCAGUUCCCCUAACACAAUAGCUCUGUCCCCCUCGUCAUUCAAGAGCCUAUGAAAGUACGACUGCCAUCUCUUCUUUAUGUGGCCGUCCUCCACCAACACUCUACCGUCCUCCCCCUUAAUGCACCGCACCUGAUCGAGGUCACGACCCUUCCUCUCCCUAGCCUUAGCGAGUCGGAACAACUUUUUCUCCCCUCCUUUCCCCUGUAACCCUGCAUACAAGCUCUCAAAAGCAGCCGUCUUAGCUGCCGUGACCGCUGACUUCGCCUCCUUCCUUGCUAGCUUGUACUCUUUCCUGUUUACCCGCUUCUCCUCUUCGUCCUUACUUUCCACCAACUUAGCAUACGACUCUUUCUUGGUCUCCACUUUCUUCCCCACCUCUUCAUUCCACCACCAAUCCCCCCGAUGAUGUCCGGCCCGGCCCCUAGAAACACCCAACACCUCCCUUGCAUUUUCCCUGAUGCACGCUGCCGCCCUGUCCCACAUAUUAUCCACGUCCCCCCUACACUCCCACACCCCCAUUCCCGCCAACCUCUCCCCUAUCUCCCACGCAUUCACUGGCGUCAAACCGCCCCACUUAAUUCUCGGUCUACACUCCUUACUCCUCCUCUUUUUAUUCUUCUUCAUACCCAAAUCCAUAACCAAGAGCCUAUGUUGGGUCGAAAGGUUCUCACUCGGGAUGACUUUACAAUCUUUACACAGCGCCCUAUCCCCUUUCCUAAGCAACAAGAAGUCAAUCUGGGUCCUGGCUACCGCGCUCCGAAAAGUGAUCAGGUGGUCGUCCUUCUUCGGGAAGCCCGAGUACUUGUUUUAAAAGUGGAAAGCUCCGUAGUUAAAAGUAGAAUAUUUUUUUGAUCCAUAUGCCUUAAAAGUUAAAAUAAGAAACCAGAGAUACCGUGAAAGAUUAAUAAUGUUUAAACCGUUGUAAUAGAAAAAUCUUCACUUAAUAAACCAUUGUCCCAUUACCUUAUUUUUAUUCAUAUAGGACAAUUAUUGGGAUAUUUAUUAUUAUCCGUCUGUCCCAAUUUCUUUUACCCUUUCGAUUCUCCACCAUUACGUUACGUGUGCAUCUCAAUUAAAAAGAAAAGAUCGAAUUCGGUCCUAUUAAACUAAGCGUAUAUAUAUUUAAGGGUGACUGAAUUGGUUGAGCAGAUAAUCUUUCAAAUAGAGUGUCUUGGAUUCAAAACCUCCUAUAUGCUUUCUCGAUCGAGCUCAUUGCAUGAGUUUGCUACCUUUUUCGAGGCUUAUGAAUUAUUAUACUAAACCGAGAUUUAUCUUGUGCACACUUGAAGAGUAGCAAUUGAGGUUUUCUUGUCAACAUAAAAAAAUUAGUGUGUAUAUAUAUAUAUAUAUAUAUAUAUAUAUAUAUAUAUAGUAUUUUAAAUAAUAAAGAGCACUCAUUUGAUUAACAUGCUAUAUUUACCUAAUCUAUGCAACAACUUGAAUAAAAAAGCUUAGAUAUAUUGUGUACUCUGCAACUCCGCCUAUGAAUUUUAAAUGUUAGGAUAAUGCUUUUUAUAACUAAUUAGAAAAAAUUAAUAAGACAUGUAGAUUUAUUUCUUUAUGUGCUCUUUCCAGUACAGCAGCUAAAAGUCAAAAGGUUUUUAUGGGCCAUGUGACCCGAUUCACCGAAAUCCAUUUCACUUUUGGCCCAAUAGUUAUGGGGUCCACUAUUAGGUUGGUGGGUGGGUUCGAGGCACAAAUAGCCUAUUUAAAUUUGUAUUCUAAGUUAAAAUAAAUUCUACAAAAAUAACUUUCGAAUUAAAACUUAAUUACAAGGAUCGCUAAAAGUUCUGAUGGAUAGACGAAGACUUAUCUUGCCACAUGUCCUGAUGAAAUCUUAGUGGAUCAUCGGGACUUUAGGAAAAAUUGUAUUAUAAUAGCAAAUUUGUUAGAAUUUCAAUUAUAAGUUGAUUAUAGUUCUAACGAAUUAUUUGAAUUUGCGCAAAAAAAAAAAAAAUAGGUAAAUUAAUUUCAAAUUUGAUGUUGAACCUUCCAAUAUCAAUUAUCAAGAAUUCCUAAUGAUUGAUUCAAUCCAAGCAUUCAAAAAUCAAUAGAUCUAUUAUGUCAUGUUCAACAAUUACAUCAACAAGAUCUAAUGAUCUAAGUAUUGUCCAAAGUCCAAACCAACCCCAAAUAAGUAGGAGAUGUUUAAAAUAUAUGAUGUAUUUUCUUUGAAAUUGCUCAGUUUUUUCAUCCAUUUAUAUCUUUGUUGCUAGUUUCAAUUUCAUUGGAAGUUUGGAACUAACUUUGACCUCGUUCAGUUUUUUACUUUUUACCCUUACUUUUUGGGUCUCUGUAACCUAAAUAUAGAAUAGGACCCAAACUUGUCUUAUUCUGCAAUUAUGUUGUACUACUUAUCAUGUUAUCUGAUAUAGAGACAAUGGGUCCUACAUGUAUCCACUGGGUCCCUAUAUCUUUGACCACUUGACUUCUUUUACCAAUAAUUAUAGUAACUUUUACUAAAAUUAAAAUAAUAUUAUGCAUAUAUAUAGUAUACGUCAAAUUAAGAAACGGAAAAUAGAACAAAAAUGGGAAAAAGGGCUUCAAUUUUCAAAUUUUUUUUGGCAUUUUCGUUUUGGGCUUUGAGAGAAUUAUUAGUAUCAUUUGCAUUUUUGUACCUAUUUUGUGCUCGUUUUUAAUUAUAUUCUUUAUAACAAAUAUUUUUAAUUUUUGUAUCAUAAAUUUUGUGUCUGAACUUUAAUUAUAAAGAAUUUAAAGGAUAAAAAUUUAAAACUAAUCCAUUUAAAAGGAAAAUGUGUAAUUUUAUGAUAUUCGGUUUACAUUAACGUACAUUGGGCCGAAGUAUAGAAAUACCUGAUUUUAAGAUCAUUAUUUAUGUUAUAUUCGCAUAAAAGAAUUUAAGUCUACAUUUUAGACAUGUGGAUAUUAUCAGACUAUAUAACUUCAAACACGACAUAUUUAAGUUAUUCCGGAUAUAGAUACACAUAUAUAUAUGAGAAAAAAAGAAGGUACAAAUUAAAUGACAAUGUCUAAAAUAAAAUAUUUGUGAUAGUUACGUCAACGCCUUCCCAUAUAACUUGAAAUAAAUUUCUUGAUUGACUACUACUUUUCGAGGAGAAAGUUUGUAUUGUUGCAUAUAUGCAUUGUAUCACAUUUUUGCACUGUUAUUUGUUGACUAAGAAAUAAGCAAGCAACCAAUGUAUAGUAAAGUUGAAAACUAAGAUAGAGAUUGAAAAGGAUAAAGAGAAAAAGAACUUGUGUUCUAAUACAUGCAUGACUUUGAUUAAAAACUAAGUUAUUAACAUUCAAAAAGAGGACAAUCAAGUCAUUAAUCAACACAAUGUGUUAGAAGGGAUGGAAUUGUCAACCUUCUUUAGUGCUGAUAGGGGUUGUAGUCAGUGGCGGAUAUCCCUCCGUUUUAUAAUAAAUAAAUUAUUGAAUUUUGACGCACAGAUUAAGGAAAAAGCAUUAAAGACAUAAAUUUAGCACAACUUUUCAUUUUUAUCCCCAAAAAAAAAAGUUGACCUUGUAAUACCUUUUCAAAAGUUAAUUGGUUAUCAAAUCAUAAGGGUAAAUUUAAAAAAAAUUCAAUGAUUCACUUAUUUUGAAACACCAAUAAAUACUCCAACAAUUCACUUAUUUCGAAACAGAGGGAGUACUAUUUUUAUACAGUCAAAAAUAUUUUUAUGUAUACACAGUAGAUGUUGAACCCCCAUCGACUAGUCCAUAUAUUUACUUCAAUGAAAAUCCUGGCUCCGUCACUGGUUGUGGUAUCUAACUCCGCCCAUGUGUGAGUAUUUAGCUAGGUCUGUACGAGAUUGUUCACAUCAUCGGCUCAAACUUAAUUAAACAGGAGGGUUGUUGGAGGUCGAUCAAAAAUAAUCAGCCUCUCUACCGCAUAAAAGUAAAAAUAAAACUACAUAUAUUUAAUCCUUUAAAUUUUAUUUGUAAAAUUAUAUUAAAUUUGUUGUUAUUGGUAGAUUUCACAAAGGAAGGAAGAAAAAAUUAUAAAAUUUUAUCAAUAUCUUAAGUAUAAAGUAAAUUUGAAAAAGAGGCAACCAAGACAUUCAUUAAGCAGAAUUUACCCGCACUCAAUAUAUAUUUACGUUUAGUCAAUAAAUGCACGUAAUGCGUUUUCGUAUAAACUCUCACUACUUAACUAUGACAUGUUAAAAUUCAUUUUUACCUCAUUAAAUCACUUAAUUAAACAUAGGUGCUGUUAAGAAGAAAAAAAUUCAACUUUCCAAAAAUGGUGAUCUUUUAAAGAGGAAGAGUAUGAUGAGUUGAAAACUCUCAACCAUAAAAAAAACAAAUAGAAAUUGAAUGAAAAUCAUCAUUUUACUUGAAAUACUUUUCAAAUAAGUCUUUUCUUUUUCCUUAACAUUUCAUUCUAAUUUGAAAUGCUAAUGACCAAACCAAUUCCAAUACUUCAAAUACUACAAAAACAAACCAAUAUUUGCAAAUACUAAUAUUUUAAAAGUCAUAUAAGUGAUUCUUUUUAAAUAAACUAAAACGAAAAGUAAAUCACAUAUGCCGAACUAGAACAUUAUACAUAGCCAAGAUCUGAAGCCUUCAAAUAAUUUCUUACUUGGAAUUGAUAAUUGCAUUACUACCUCAUUUCUGAAGUAGAGAAACAAACUGCGUACAUUUUACCCUAUCCAGAGUCCAGAGACCUCACUUUGCGAGAUCCAGUAAGCUUGUGAUUGUUGUUGGAAUUGAUAAUUGCAUUGUGGCCACUGUCAUGGAAACAAAAUUCAUACUCCACAUAUAUGCUUAUUUCCAUUUUUGUUUGUAUAAUUCUUUCAUCAAAUCUUAUUCAGUUUCAUCCAAGCUCGACUUCACAUAAUUUUUGUGGAAGAAGAAGAAGAAGCGAUUCGCCAGACACUAUAUUUCCAAAAGGUAGAUAAUAGAAGGCAUUUUGGAGGUACUUCAAUGGAAAUGCUAUUAUUUGCUUUGUUAUUGAAACAGAGGGAAUUUCAAGUUAAUUUGUUUAUAUACAACUUUUUUCAUUUGUGUGGCACAAAGAAGAAAAUAAGGGGAAUAUAUAUAUAUAUAUAUAUAUAGAAUAAUAGUGGAUAUUGUACAUUAAUUGUUGGUAAGUUGUUGCCUGUUGGGACCAUUGACUUUAUUCUUCAUUUAUAUAUCAUCCCUAUCUACUUCACUACCAUGUAAUGUUAGGCAGUAGUUUUUUCUUUUUUC
rnacentral:lncRNA from 1 species